CUUGAUGGAGCCCAGCCACAGAGGCCGGCCGUCCUCGGGACGGUCCUGGCCAUACGUGGCGAGCAAGGCCUGGGCCUC
rfam:Streptomyces sp. NRRL WC-3618 P435contig326.1, whole genome shotgun sequence.